AUCGAACGCUGGCGGCAGGCCUAACACAUGCAAGUCGAACGAGUGGCGGACGGGUGAGUAAUGUCUGGGAAACUGCCCGAUGGAGGGGGAUAACUACUGGAAACGGUAGCUAAUACCGCAUACCAUCGGUUGUGGCCAGAUGGGAUUAGCUAGUCGGUGGGGUAACGGCUCACCUAGGCGACGAUGCCUAGCUGGCCUGAGAGGAUGACCAGCCACACUGGAACUGAGACACGGCCCAGACUCCUACGGGAGGCAGCAGUAGGGAAUAUUGGACAAUGGGCGCAAGCCUGAUCCAGCAAUGCCGCGUGUGUGAAGAAGGCUUUCGGGUUGUAAAGUACUUUCGGCGGGGAGGCGGUACUCGCAGAAGAAGCACCGGCUAACUCCGUGCCAGCAGCCGCGGUAAUAC
rnacentral:rRNA from 1 species